UUGAGCUUUUACGAUAAAGAACUAUUCACCCCACCCUCGCAUAGAUAAAUGUAACUUCACAGGUCCGAAGGCCUAGCUUACUCUCUACCAAUAUCAAUGCAAAUAAGCGAGAUAAGCACCAGUCACGCUUGCAAAAAUCGUACGAUUCAACCGUUGAUCAGAACUGCAGUUGAAAGCUUUUCAAGAGCGGCUUAUCUACACUUCGUUUUCAACCUUGCAUUCAAUACCUGAUCUGCGCUCUUGGUGGAAAGUUCUAUUGUUCAAUUUUUGGCUUAGGCCUAAUUAAUAAACCUCGUGUUACCCUUAUCUUAUAUAAUCUCGAUCUGUGGUGUAUUAAUAUAACCAGGAGGUUAUUAAUAAUAACUAGUGAAUUUGUGAUAGUGAGUGAAAGGGAUCCGCAUAAGAAGGCGAGGCGUCAGACGUAUAUCAGUAGAUCCCGUUGAGGGAGUCUGCUCCUACAUUAGGCCGGAUACAGUCUGAUCGCCCUACGCCUGCUCAACAAGAUUGCAUCAGUUCCAACUUGCCCAAAUUCUUGAUGAAAGUGGCCCAGAGGAAAACAUAACCUCCGGUGGCGAGAUUACGCAACCGCCACGUAGGUUGACAUUUGGACAUCGGCCGUUCAACGCAAGAUCAUUAUUAUUCAACGCGGAGUACCUACCCAUCGACACUCAGGAUCGCUUUACUACGAAGGUGCAGAAGGUGUAGCCACAUCUGGCCUAUACCCCUGGCCCUAGCACCAGCCCAGCAACAACUCGGAUCGUGCCACUGUAAGGAGCUGCCAAGACGACCAUAAGUCGGCCAACGGCUGAGGACAACGUCCAGCCCGUCCAGCGAUCUAUGUCCGGCUAUUAGGAGUCUCUAUUUUGUAUCCAUUUAAUUUGUCUUUGACAACUUGCUAAUUGGCAUGAGUGCGGUAUUUGUAUAGGUCAUUUAAAGUAGAUUUUAUUAAAUAUUUUGACCAACAGCUCAUCAACGGACAUGUGAACUUGGGCCCAACUUUACAACUCGUAUCAUGGAGCAGAAAUAAAAAGGUCGUGAGUACUAAUUAAAACGAAUAUCUAUUUUAAAACCUAUAAUUGCCGCCCUAUUGUCAUUAAAUGCAUUAUUAAAUUCAUAGCUUAAAUUCAUAAACAUAUAAAUGAAAGAUUGAUCGUUCUUACUUAAUUAAUUGUGAAAUGAAAUUUUAUUGAAUAUGAAAUGCAACUUUAAUUCUUAUGUUAGGAAAUUCUUAAAUUGUUAUAUAUAUGAAUCAAUGGAACAUAGAGUAGAUAAAUAUGAUUAUAAAUGAAAUAUAGGAUUUAAUUAAAAUAAUGAAGUUUGAAUAAAUAAUAAUAAUGGUCUGUCGAG